rnacentral:rRNA from 1 species
CCUACGGGUGGCAGCAGUGGGGAAUAUUGCACAAUGGGCGAAACCCUGAUGCAGCGACGCCGCGUGAGUGAAGAAGUAAUUCGUUAUGUAAAGCUCUAUCAGCAGGGAAGAAAAUGACGGUACCUGAGUAAUAAGCCCCGGCUAACUACGUGCCAGCAGCCGCGGUAAUACGUAGGGGGCAAGCGUUAUCCGGAUUUACUGGGUGGAAAGGGAGCGUAGACGGCAGUGCAAGUCUGGUGGGAAAGGCGGGGGCUCAACCCCCGGACUGCUCUGGAAACUGUACGUCUGGAGUGCAGGAGAGGUAAGUGGAAUUCCGAGUGUAGCGGUGAAAUGCGUAGAUAUUAGGAGGAACACCAGUGGCGAAGGCGGCUUACUGGACUGUAACUGACGUUGAGGCUCGAAAGCGUGGGGAGCAAACAGGAUUAGAUACCCUAGUAGUC